AGAGUUUGAUCCUGGCUCAGAACGAACGCUGGCGGCGUGGAUUAGGCAUGCAAGUCGAACGUGAACGUGCCGACGUAGCAAUACGAAGGUGCAAGUAAAGUGGCGAACGGGUGAGUAACGCGUGGGAAACCUGCUCCAGAGUGGGGGAUAACAGUUCUAACGGACUGCUAAUACCGCAUGAUGCUCCAGGUCGAUGACCUGGAGUUAAAGGAGGCCUCUGUUUCAAGCUUCCGCUGUGGAAUGGUCCCGCGUCCUAUUAGCUUGUUGGUGGGGUAACGGCCUACCAAGGCAACGAUGGGUAGCCGGCCUGAGAGGGUGGUCGGCCACACUGGGACUGAGAUACGGCCCAGACUCCUACGGGAGGCAGCAGUCGAGAGGCUUCGGCAAUGGGGGCAACCCUGACCGAGCGACGCCGCGUGGGUGAUGAAGUUUUUCGGAACGUAAAACCCUGUCAGGUGGGAGGAAACACCAUUCGGCUAAUACCCGAGUGGCUUGACAGUACCACCAGAGGAAGCUCCGGCUAACUCCGUGCCAGCAGCCGCGGUAACACGGGGGGAGCAAGCGUUGUUCGGAAUCACUGGGCGUAAAGGGCGUGUAGGCGGCUGGGUAAGUGAGAUGUGAAAUCCCUCGGCUCACCCGAGGACCUGCAUCUCAUACUGCCUGGCUUGAGUAUGGGAGAGGAUGAGGGAAUUCCUGGUGUAGCGGUGAAAUGCGUAGAUAUCAGGAGGAACACCGGUGGCGAAGGCGCUCAUCUGGCCCAAUACUGACGCUGAGGCGCGAAAGCUAGGGGAGCAAACGGGAUUAGAUACCCCGGUAGUCCUAGCCGUAAACGGUGAGCACUAGGUGUUGGAGGCAACGACCCCUCCAGUGCCGCAGCUAACGCAUUAAGUGCUCCGCCUGGGGAGUACGGCCGCAAGGUUGAAACUCAAAGGAAUUGACGGGGGCCCG
rnacentral:rRNA from 1 species